rnacentral:rRNA from 1 species
UAGGGAAUCUUCGGCAAUGGACGGAAGUCUGACCGAGCAACGCCGCGUGAGUGAAGAAGGUUUUCGGAUCGUAAAGCUCUGUUGUAAGAGAAGAACGAGUGUGAGAGUGGAAAGUUCACACUGUGACGGUAUCUUACCAGAAAGGGACGGCUAACUACGUGCCAGCAGCCGCGGUAAUACGUAGGUCCCGAGCGUUGUCCGGAUUUAUUGGGCGUAAAGCGAGCGCAGGCGGUUAGAUAAGUCUGAAGUUAAAGGCUGUGGCUUAACCAUAGUACGCUUUGGAAACUGUUUAACUUGAGUGCAAGAGGGGAGAGUGGAAUUCCAUGUGUAGCGGUGAAAUGCGUAGAUAUAUGGAGGAACACCGGUGGCGAAAGCGGCUCUCUGGCUUGUAACUGACGCUGAGGCUCGAAAGCGUGGGGAGCAAACAGGAUUAGAUACCCUGGUAGUCCACGCCGUAAACGAUGAGUGCUAGGUGUUAGACCCUUUCCGGGGUUUAGUGCCGCAGCUAACGCAUUAAGCACUCCGCCUGGGGAGUACGACNNGCAAGGUUG